rnacentral:lncRNA from 1 species
AUUUCCUCCCUUUUUCAGUCUGUGAGUUAUUUACAAAAAGUAAACAAAUGGUGUACAUGGGGAGAUGUGACUUUGUUGUGAUAAUCCUAUGCUGUCUGAGUACAACUCAGAGUAAUAUUUCUUUUUUUUAAUAUAAAUGAGAUUACUAGGCUUUAUUUUAUCAUCAGUUUUCUUGCAGAUAUUUUCUAAUCCUUAUGCAUUUGCAAAAUGGAAAAUCAUUUUUGGUCUCCAGUUCUUUAAAUUAUUGGAUGUGGUAUUUGGGAAAGGGAGGAGCUUAUGAGGCCCUUUAUCUGGGGCUGAGCUCAUGUGUGGUAGUUAGAAGAUGAAGCAGUCUUUGGGAUCUGUUCUGGUCUUCAGAAGGUUGCUAUUCAAUUAAUCCUGAAACACGUUGGAUUUCACUGCUUUGAAUUGCAAAGGAUUUAGUCCGGAGGUGAGACCACAACCACCACACCACAAACCAUCCUGGGACUCUAGCGUAUUGCCUCAGAGGGCAAUAACCAGACAACAGUAGAGAUGGAAAUUGGAAGAUUAAGAAACUUACUUAUAAAGAAGAAGAGUAAAACAAAUAUCCAGAAAUGCUUGGAGACUUUAGACAAUUAAAAGGAGAAAAAAUGCCUGGCAUACUCCGAAGAGGGAUUAUCAGGAAUGAUUGCAGCACCAGCCCACAGCUCAUAUGAAGUUAACCAUUGCAUGAUUGGAAAACUCCUGUGCUGCAAAGUUGCAUCACUAAUCAAUCACUCCGUCAACUCCAAUUGUAUGCUGAAACCUCUACUUUCCUUCAUCUUCUGUGUAAAUAUAUUUCUUUUUCUUCCCUCUGCUGGAGAGGUUUGAAGUCUGAAGUAAUAAAGAGAACAAAUUAUGAUUGAGAACUUAUGAA